CCUGGUGAUGGGAGAGGAAGGGAUUCCUCCUAUUUUCUGCAGCUGUUUACUUAGGCAGCCAUCAAUAAUUCAGGACAUCAGCUCCUUCCUGAAAGCCCAGGUGAGGGCAAAGGGCCUAGCCCAGGCCAGCAGCUCAUUUGCUCCAUCCUGCAAGACUCAGCUGAUAUCCCGCAGGCUCCUGGCUGGCCAGACCACAGCUGUGCUUGGAGAGGAGAACAAGGAUCUACUUCCUCCGUGAACUCCAGUUUUACUUGAGAGUAAAAUCCUCCAUGGCCUCUGGGCCUGCUGGCAGCAAUUCAUCAGCUCCCGUUCUGCGGGGCUGUUUUCUCCUGGAGGUUGGACCUCUUUCCCCUGACUGCUUUGCAUCUCGCCUGUUCCUGGCAUUGCCUCUGACAGCUGGACUUAUUGAGAGACCAGGCCCCAGAGGAAAAUGCGAAGCACGGCCCCACCAUGCUCCCUGGCUUGACCUGGACCCAGAGCAAGACAGACACUUCUCCGCGUCGCAUCGGCCUUCCUUUGCCCGGUUAUCUGUAUUUUCUUUGAAAAAUCAUUUCCUCUACUUUACUCAGUUUUCCUUUAAGCCCAGUUGCCUGCUCAGUUCUCUGUCCUUUCUGUUUAUUUCGACUUCUCAUUUUUCCCAUUGAUCAGACGCCCUGGAAAUAUAGCAGGAACACUGUGUUCCUUGUAAUAUUUGGUUACACUUAAUAUUUCUCAGCAAAACGUUAACUUGGAACACCAAGCAGUAAAAAUCCAGGCCUGCUCUGCUUACACUGGACAUCAGCUUCAGCACAGGCUCCGAUUCAUGUCGGAUCUAUUCCAUCCUUAAAGGGGAAUCACGCCCAGGCUGCCGCGGGAAGGUGCCUCAGCCGGCGAGCCGCCAAGCACCCCACAGAAAGCAGUUUCCUCAAAUAAGUGAGCAGCUAUAACACACUUGGUGCCUGGCUGAAUAAAGACAUUACACCCAGUAAAAGUGCCAGAUGAACAUACUGUCAAAUCCCAACACUCCUUAAACAGAACAGUUUUUCCAACCCGGCCUUUGCCAUCAGCGCUGCUAAUGCUAUUUUCUCUGAUGCCACGUUCUGAUUGUGUGCAUCAAACUGAGAACUAAUGACACCCUGUGGGCAGUAGUUCUCAUCUGCCUCUUUGGUGAGUCAAUGAAAGCUAAAUACCCUUUCU
rnacentral:lncRNA from 1 species